rnacentral:rRNA from 1 species
UCUGUAGGCGGUUUGGUAAGUUAGAUGUGAAAUCCCGGGGCUCAACCCCGGAACUGCAUCCGAUACUGCCAAACUAGAGGGUCGGAGGGGAGUCUGGAAUUCUCGGUGUAGCAGUGAAAUGCGUAGAUAUCGAGAGGAACACUAGUGGCGAAGGCGAGACUCUGGACGACACCUGACGCUGAGAGACGAAGGCCAGGGUAGCGAAAA